UACAGAGGUCCCAAGCGUUGUUCGGAUUCAUUGGGCGUAAAGGGUGCGUAGGCGGCGGGGUAAGUCAGGUGUGAAAUCCCGGAGCUUAACUCCGGAACUGCACUUGAUACUGUCUUGCUCGAGUACUGGAGAGGAGACUGGAAUUUACGGUGUAGCAGUGAAAUGCGUAGAUAUCGUAAGGAAGACCAGUGGCGAAGGCGAGUCUCUGGACAGUUACUGACGCUGAGGCACGAAGGCCAGGGGAGCAAACGGG
rnacentral:rRNA from 1 species